UUCGCAAUGCCCGAAAGGGUGAACGAGCGACGCCGCGUGCGGGAUGAAGGGUUUCGGCUUGUAAACCGCUUUUCUUUGGGAAGAAGGUCUGUCUCGUGCAGGUGGGCUCGACGGUACCAGAGGAAGAAGCCACGGCUAACUUCGUGCCAGCAGCCGCGGUAAGACGAAGGUGGCGAGCGUUGUUCGGAAUCACUGGGCAUAAAGCGCACGUAGGCGGCGGCGUAAGUCGGGUGUGAAAUCCCUCGGCCCAACCGAGGAACUGCGCCCGAUACUGCGUUGCUUGAGGGCCAAAGGGGUGCAUGGAAUUCCCGGUGGAGCGGUGAAAUGCGUUGAUAUCGGGAGGAACGCCGGCGGCGAAAGCGGUGCACUGGUUGGCUUCUGACGCUGAUGUGCGAAAGCCAGGGGAGCAAACGGGAUUAGAUACCCCGGUAGUCCUGGCCGUAAACGAUGGGCACUAAGUAGAGGGGUUUU
rnacentral:rRNA from 1 species